rnacentral:rRNA from 1 species
UCGGGAAUAUUGCGCAAUGGAGGAAACUCUGACGCAGUGACGCCGCGUGCAGGAAGAAGGUUUUCGGAUUGUAAACUGCUUUAGACAGGGAAGAUAGCAGACAGUACCUGUAGAAUAAGCUCCGGCUAACUACGUGCCAGCAGCCGCGGUAAUACGUAGGGAGCAAGCGUUAUCCGGAUUUAUUGGGUGUAAAGGGUGCGUAGACGGGAAGUCAAGUUAGUUGUGAAAUCCCUCGGCUUAACUGAGGAACUGCAACUAAAACUAACUUUCUUGAGUGCUGGAGAGGAAAGUGGAAUUCCUAGUGUAGCGGUGAAAUGCGUAGAUAUUAGAAGGAACACCAGUGGCGAAGGCGACUUGCUGGGCUAUUACUGACGUUCAUGGACGAAAGCGUGGGGAGCAAAUAGGAUUAGAUACCC